GGCCUUGUUCUAUCUUGCACCUGCCUUCACCUGUAUGACAUCCUACACCUACCCUGUGCACACUUCAGCCGAGGCCGCUGUGCCUGGUCUGUAUUGUGAAUGGGUAGACAUGG
ensembl:snoRNA LOC120097226 small nucleolar RNA SNORA51